rnacentral:snRNA from 1 species
CAUAAUGCUCACUUUAUCAUAUACUAAAAUUGGAAGGAUACAAAGAAGAUUAGCAUGGCUCCUGCUCAAGGAUGAAAUGCAAAUUCAAGAAAUGUUCCAUAUUUUA